rnacentral:rRNA from 1 species
GUGGGGCUACACACGUCAUACAAUGGCUGGUACAAAGGGUUGCCAACCCGCGAGGGGGAGCUAAUCCCAUAAAGCCAAGUCGUAGUCCGGAUCGCAGUCUGCAACUCGACUGCGUGAAGUCGGAAUCGCUAGUAAUCGUGGAUCAGAAUGUCACGGUGAAUACGUUCCCGGGUCUU